GCGCCUCACGCAAUCCCAAACGGUUCCCGGGCGAACCGGGGCCCGCGCGCGCCAACGCCGCCGAGACUCUCAGGGACUGCGGUCCUGGUCCCGUGGGACCUGUGGAGGCCCGGGCGGCGGCGCCCCCGACCCAGCCAGCGGACGGAGCGGGGGGAACCGGGAGGUCCCGGGGGGCGUCCACGGGGGUGUCCCCGGUGGUCCCCGGAAGGCGCCGGCGGAGGCUCCCGCGCUGCGCUUGAAAAUCGCGCGCUGUCCCGCGGCCAGCCUGGGUGGGGUCAAGGUGCAGCCAAUGGAAGGGUCGGGGGCACGGCACAGCCAAUGGGAAGGGCCGGGGCGCCAAAGCGAAUGGGAAGGGCCGGCACGGGAGAUUUAAAGGCUGCUGGACCGAGGGGUCGCCCGUGCUUCGCGUCCCAGCCAUCCUGUUCUGGCCUGUCGCUGUACUUCGCUGCGCCGCCACUAUGCUCUCCGUCCGCAUCCCGCUCGCGCCCAUCACGAACCCGCAGCAGCUGCAGCUCUCGCCGCUGAAGGGGCUAAGCCUGGUCGACAAGGAGAACACGCCGCCAGCCCUGAGCGGGGCCCGCGUCCUGGCCAGCAAGACCGCGAGGAGGAUCUUCCAGGAGCCCGCGGAGCCGAAAACUAAAGCAGCUGCCCCCGGCGUGGAGGAUGAACCGCUGCUGAGAGAAAACCCCCGCCGCUUUGUCAUCUUCCCCAUCGAGUACCAUGAUAUCUGGCAGAUGUAUAAGAAGGCGGAGGCUUCCUUCUGGACUGCCGAGGAGGUGGACCUGUCCAAGGACAUUCAGCACUGGGAAUCCCUGAAGCCCGAGGAGAGAUAUUUUAUAUCCCAUGUUCUGGCUUUCUUUGCAGCAAGCGAUGGCAUAGUAAAUGAAAACUUGGUGGAGCGAUUUAGCCAAGAAGUUCAGAUUACAGAAGCCCGCUGUUUCUAUGGCUUCCAAAUUGCCAUGGAAAACAUACAUUCUGAAAUGUAUAGUCUUCUUAUUGACACUUACAUAAAAGAUCCCAAAGAAAGGGAAUUUCUCUUCAAUGCCAUUGAAACGAUGCCUUGUGUCAAGAAGAAGGCAGAUUGGGCCUUGCGCUGGAUUGGGGACAAAGAGGCUACCUAUGGUGAACGUGUCGUAGCCUUUGCCGCAGUGGAAGGCAUCUUCUUUUCCGGUUCUUUUGCAUCGAUAUUCUGGCUCAAGAAACGAGGACUGAUGCCUGGCCUCACAUUUUCCAAUGAACUUAUCAGCAGAGAUGAGGGUUUACACUGUGAUUUUGCUUGCCUGAUGUUCAAACACCUGGUACACAAACCAUCAGAGGAGAGAGUAAGAGAAAUAAUUAUCAAUGCUGUUCGGAUAGAACAGGAGUUCCUCACUGAGGCCUUGCCUGUGAAGCUAAUUGGGAUGAAUUGCACUCUAAUGAAGCAAUACAUUGAGUUUGUGGCAGACAGACUUAUGCUGGAACUGGGUUUUAGCAAGGUGCUGGGAGACCGUGAAGUGCAAAGCAGAUGAGUCCAGGCCCUCGGGGAGACAGCAUGCCAGUGGGGGAGACGGAGACCAAUCACCUACCCAGUGUGCAGGGAUGAGAAGCUCGGGAAGGUCUGACCAGCCUUACAUCUUGAAAGGGAAACCCCUGCUCCUGCGUGUCAGCUGUUACUCGGGGUUCGCCAGUGGAAGCGAGAGGCAGUCGCAGCUUUCAGGGAAAAAAAAGGAAAAGCCAUCAGCAAUACCAAGGGAAACCGUAAGCUAAGUCCAGAAUGCCUCCUUUCUGCCUAAAUGCCUCUGAGCUUCAUUUGAUCAUCAUCAGCUGCAGACCCAUGAGCCACUGGGCCUGACCUGGGAGACACCGGCCCUCCGCUUCCAGCGCUCUCCAGCCCGGAUUUCCUGCAGAACAGUGGCAAAGCGUUCGCCCAGAGCUGCGUCCCCUCACUGGAAAGCAACGCUGAGUCGGGGUUACCUGGCUCCACUGUGCCCCCAGCGAGGUGAAACUGUACCAUCAAAUUCUCACAACAACAUUGGUUCUCCUUUAAGGAUAAGGAGGCUACCGCCCAAAGAGCUUGUGCACUGGGUGCACAGCCACUCGGGCCAUCUUCCAGAGCGGGAUGUCUGACUCCAGAGCCCGCCAGCCCACACUGCUCUCCUGAGGACUGGGUUUCUCUGGCCUGAGUCUGCCCGAGUCUACAGGAAGAACCCUGCUGGCACCCCAGUAAGCCCCUCUAGACCUUGGGGCUCUAACUGCUCUCAGAGCUCACUUUUCAGUUAGCCUAUAAGGCAGGGGUGUCCAGUCUUUUGGCUUUCCUUGGCCACAUUGGAAGAAGAAUUGGCUUGUGUCACACAUGAAAUACAGUAACACUAAUGAUAGCUGAUGAGUUAAAAACAGUGAAAAAUCACAAACUCAAUGUUUUAAGAAAGUUUGUAAAUUUGUGUUGGGCUGCAUUCAAAGCCAUUCUGGGCUACGGGUUGGACAAGCUUGCUAUAAUGGAUCAGAGAGAUCUACAGUCUUAAAGAAGAAACAGCUCCCAGGCCUGUUAGACCUAUCAGGGCACUCACUGAAUGCUGUGAGCAGGGGAAGGGGCAGGCCUGGGCAGUGCGGUCCUCAGUGGGGGCCCAGCGGUGUCUCCAGUCAUCUGGGGAGCUGGGAACAGCACACCAGGGUUUGUUUGCCUCCUGGGAAAGUUCUCACUUGCAGCAAGAGAGAACAGAGGUGCGAAAGCUAGGCCAUGUUCAUUAUUCCUUCAUUCCCUAUUUAUUGAGCUUUGA